UUGGGUUAAGUCCCGCAACGAGCGCAACCCUUGUCAUUAGUUGCUACAUUCAGUUGGGCACUCUAAUGAGACUGCCGGUGACAAACCGGAGGAAGGUGGGGAUGACGUCAAGUCCUCAUGGCCCUUAUAGGUGGGGCUACACACGUCAUACAAUGGAUGGUACAAAGGGUCGCCAACCCGCGAGGGGGAGCCAAUCCCAUAAAGCCAUUCGUAGUCCGGAUCGCAGUCUGCAACUCGACUGCGUGAAGUCGGAAUCGCUAGUAAUCGUGGAUCAGAAUGUCACGGUGAAUACGUUCCCGGGUCCUU
rnacentral:rRNA from 1 species